rnacentral:rRNA from 1 species
AUACGUAGGGGGCAAGCGUUAUCCGGAUUUACUGGGUGUAAAGGGAGCGCAGACGGCGGUUCAAGUCUGAUGUGAAAUACGGGGGCUCAACUCCCGGGCUGCAUUGGAAACUGGACGGCUGGAGUGCCGGAGGGGUAAGCGGAAUUCCUGGUGUAGCGGUGAAAUGCGUAGAUAUCAGGAGGAACACCGGUGGUGAAGGCGGCUUACUGGACGGUAACUGACGUUGAGGCUCGAAAGCGUGGGGAGCAAACAGGAUUAGAUACCCUGGUAGUCCACGCGGUAAACGAUGAAUACUAGGUGUUGGGGGGCAAGGCCCUUCGGUGCCGUCGCAAACGCAAUAAGUAUUCCACCUGGGGGGUACGUUCGCAAGAAUGAAACUCAAAUGAAUUGACGGGG